GAUGAAGAACGCAGCGAAAUGCGAUACGUAAUGUGAAUUGCAGAAUUCAGUGAAUCAUCGAAUCUUUGAACGCAUAUUGCGCUCUCUGGUAUUCCGGAGAGCAUGCUUGUUUGAGUAUCAGUAAACACCUCAACUUCCAUAUCUUUUUUGAAAUGGGAGUUGGACUUGAGUGAUCCCAACGCUUUUCCUCACCGAAAAGUGGCGGGUUACUUGAAAUGCAGGUGCAGCUGGACUUUUCUCUGAGCUAUAAGCAUAUCUAUUUAGUCUGCCUAAAAAACAGAUUAUUACCUUUGCUGCAGCUAACAUAAAGGAGAUUAGUUCUUGUGCUGACUGAUGCAGGAUUUACAAAGACAGGCUUCGGCCGACUUUGUAAACUCGAUCUCAAAUCAAGUAAGACUACCCGCUGAACUUAAGCAUAUCAAUAAGCGGAGGA
rnacentral:misc_RNA from 1 species